rnacentral:rRNA from 1 species
UACGAAGGGGGGCUAGCGUUGUUCGGAUUCAUUGGGCGUAAAGGGUGCGUAGGCGGCGCGGUAAGUCGGGUGUGAAAUCUCGGAGCUUAACUCCGAAACUGCAUUCGAUACUGCCGUGCUUGAGGACUGGAGAGGAGACUGGAAUUUACGGUGUAGCGGUGAAAUGCGUAGAUAUCGUAAGGAAGACCAGUGGCGAAGGCGGGUCUCUGGACAGUUCCUGACGCUGAGGCACGAAGGUCAGGGGGAGCAAACGGG